UUAUAAAUUAAUUAUUUUCUUGAUGAAUCAGGUGUGACAUUGGGAGACUCGGUGCAAGGACGAUAUCUGAACGAUCAUUCAAAUUUCGAUCAAAAACGCGGGAAGAUUACUCAACGGAGUCAAUGCAGUGGAAGUACCACAUAUUCAGUGUUUGGUAACUACCAAG